AUGGAAUCACAGAAAAGAACACUUUUUGACUCAUUUUAUGCUCAAGAGAAAAAUUAAUGUACCAAAUACGAGGGAGGCGGUGUGGCCCAAAGAAGCCACGAGGUUACACACACACCCCGAUGGCCAAUCUCACGAGACUCUGACAGACAUAGAUUUGGGUAAGUGUGUGUGUUGGAAACACACUAAGACCACACCCUAGGAUUGAGUAUCUGGACUUUAAACGCCGGGAAUUAAAAGUUAAAAGGUCUGGUCUCAUAGGUGAAAGAUGCAGCGAUGGUAGCAAAGACACGCAAACCCUCCACUGGCGCAGGGUGUCCGGGCAAAGCGUAGCGUGGUCCGAGGACCCGGUGAGGGCCCCGGGAGAGCUGGCCCAGAGAGAAGGGGCGCCGGGGUACGGAGGAGCCUGGGAGCCGGGCCAUAGCGGAGCACCGGGGCAGAAAGGAAGGCAAAGAAGCAGGGGAGCCGAAAAGCGCCCGGCACCGGGCCGCUGGCUCCCGCACGCGCCGCGACCCGGGCGGAAGAGAGGACCCCGAGAAUGAAUGGGCGGAGGCCGGGCCCAGGGAGGGCCGGGAGCGCGCAAGGCGGCCGC
rnacentral:lncRNA from 1 species